GCGAGUGAUGAGAACAUGGAACUAUUGCACGUUUAUAUGAUAAGGCAACUUGAUGACUUACACACGCUUCACUAAAUAUCGUACGAGCGAUUACUGAUCA